rnacentral:rRNA from 1 species
GACGGAGGAUGCAAGCGUUAUCCGGAAUGAUUGGGCGUAAAGCGUCCGCAGGUGGCAGUUCAAGUCUGCUGUCAAAGACCGGGGCUUAACUUCGGAAAGGCAGUGGAAACUGAACAGCUAGAGUAUGGUAGGGGCAGAGGGAAUUCCUGGUGUAGCGGUGAAAUGCGUAGAGAUCAGGAAGAACAUCGGUGGCGAAGGCGGUGCUGGGCUGAC